CUUCGGAAUGAACUUAAGUGAAUUAGUGGCGAACGGGUGAGUAACGCGUGAGUAACCUGCCUUACACAAGGGGAUAGCCUCUGGAAACGGAGAAUAAUACCCUAUGAAACUAUCUUAUCGCAUGAAAAGAUAGUCAAAGUGUUUUAGCGGUGUAAGAUGGACUUGCGUCUGAUUAGCUAGUUGGUGAGAUAACAGCCCACCAAGGCAACGAUCAGUAGCCGGCUUGAGAGAGUGUACGGCCACAUUGGGACUGAGACACAGCCCAGACUCCUACGGGAGGCAGCAGUGGGGAAUUUUGCACAAUGGGGGCAACCCUGAUGCAGCGACGCCGCGUGAUUUAGAAGGCCUUCGGGUUGUAAAAAUCUUUUGUAUAGGAAGAAAAUGACAGUACUAUACGAAUAAGGUCCGGCUAAUUACGUGCCAGCAGCCGCGGUAAUACGUAAGGACCGAGCGUUGUCCGGAAUCAUUGGGCGUAAAGGGUACGUAGGCGGUUAGAAAAGUUAGAAGUGAAAGGCUAUAGCUCAACUAUAGUAAGCUUUUAAAACUGUUUAACUUGAGAGAUGGAAGGGAAAGUGGAAUUCCUAGUGUAGCGGUGAAAUGCGCAGAUAUUAGGAGGAAUACCGGUGGCGAAGGCGACUUUCUGGCCAUU
rnacentral:rRNA from 2 species